rnacentral:rRNA from 1 species
AGUGAACGCUGGCGGUAGGCCUAACACAUGCAAGUCGAACGGCAGCACAGUAAGAGCUUGCUCUUACGGGUGGCGAGUGGCGGACGGGUGAGGAAUACAUCGGAAUCUACUUUUUCGUGGGGGAUAACGUAGGGAAACUUACGCUAAUACCGCAUACGACCUACGGGUGAAAGCAGGGGAUCUUCGGACCUUGCGCGAUUGAAUGAGCCGAUGUCGGAUUAGCUAGUUGGCGGGGUAAAGGCCCACCAAGGCGACGAUCCGUAGCUGGUCUGAGAGGAUGAUCAGCCACACUGGAACUGAGACACGGUCCAGACUCCUACGGGAGGCAGCAGUGGGGAAUAUUGGACAAUGGGCGCAAGCCUGAUCCAGCCAUACCGCCUGGGUGAAGAAGGCCUUCGGGUUGUAAAGCCCUUUUGUUGGGAAAGAAAAGCAGCAGGUUAAUACCCCGCUGUUCUGACGGUACCCAAGGAAUAAGCACCGGCUAACUUCGUG